rnacentral:lncRNA from 1 species
ACACAAACAAACAAGACAGAAAUAAACUCCAUUUAUCUCUCAAUCUCACCCCUGACCCCCCUAUCCCUACGGGGAAUGGCUGACAAAGAGCCACUCGUACCCAUUCUUAUCACCCUCCGCUGCUGCGCCAAGCAUCAUGUAACGCCUGAAGGACCGAGUCGCAUCAUUCGCUCGAAACGGAAUCGGACAAAAGAUGAAUGGCAUCACUGUACCAGGCGUAGUGCCACCACCGCCCACCCCGUCAGCCCGACGCCGACGGCUUCGACCGUGACCCCGUGCUGGCACGCCGCAUCCAACCACCCUCUUCCGGUUCCGGAAUAAAGUCCUGCGUCCUUUCUGCGUUCGGUGGCGUGGUCGGUUGGCGUCGGCUUGUCGCGGGGCCUGCAGCUGCAAUCCUUCCUUCACGACUGCACGCAUGCAAAUGCAUUCAGACUGAACUAUUCACAACAGGUGCCCAAACAGAAUAUAAAUAAAAAAAACAACCAUAGUUCCUCCAAACGAAAGAGUGGUAUCGAUAACCAACCAUCCUUUUCGUACCUCUUCUUGAACGCAGAGUUCUGCGAGGAGGGACAACUAGCCCCUCCGUCAACACUCAACACAAAGGUGACACAAGUCUGACUCAUGGCGCAUCAGCAAGACAGCA